ACUCCUGCGGGAGGCAGCAGUGGGGAAUUUUGGACAAUGGGCGAAAGCCUGAUCCAGCCAUGCCGCGUGCAGGAUGAAGGCCUUCGGGUUGUAAACUGCUUUUGUACGGAACGAAACGGCCUUUUCUAAUAAAGAGGGCUAAUGACGGUACCGUAAGAAUAAGCACCGGCUAACUACGUGCCAGCAGCCGCGGUAAUACGUAGGGUGCAAGCGUUAAUCGGAAUUACUGGGCGUAAAGCGUGCGCAGGCGGUUAUGUAAGACAGUUGUGAAAUCCCCGGGCUCAACCUGGGAACUGCAUCUGUGACUGCAUAGCUAGAGUACGGUAGAGGGGGAUGGAAUUCCGCGUGUAGCAGUGAAAUGCGUAGAUAUGCGGAGGAACACCGAUGGCGAAGGCAAUCCCCUGGACCUGUACUGACGCUCAUGCACGAAAGCGUGGGGAGCAAACAGGAUUAGAAACCCUGGUAGUCCC
rnacentral:rRNA from 1 species